AGAACGAACGCUGGCGGCAGGCCUAAUACAUGCAAGUCGAACGCUGUAGCAAUACAGAGUGGCAGACGGGUGAGUAACGCGUGGGAAUAUUCCUUGCAGUACGGAAUAACUCCGGGAAACCGGUGCUAAUACCGUAUACGCCCUUCGGGGGAAAGAUUUAUCGCUGCAAGAUUAGCCCGCGUCGGAUUAGCUAGUUGGUGAGGUAAUGGCUCACCAAGGCUACGAUCCGUAGCUGGUCUGAGAGGAUGAUCAGCCACACUGGGACUGAGACACGGCCCAGACUCCUACGGGAGCAGCAGUAGGGAAUAUGGACAAUGGGCGCAAGCCUGAUCCAGCCAUGCCGCGUGAGUGAAGAAGGCCUUAGGGUUGUAAAGCUCUUUUGGAGGGAAGAUAAUGACGGUACCCGCAGAAAUAAGCUCCGGCUAACUUCGUGCCAGCAGCCGC
rnacentral:rRNA from 1 species